rnacentral:rRNA from 1 species
AUGCCCCCUUAUCCAGGACUCCCUCACACGUACAAGCCUAAGUUGGUGUUCCUUUCUGAAACACGGCAGAGCAAUGCGUACAUCAAUAAGCUCAGAUGGAGGCUUGGCCUCAAACAUUGUAUCAUGUAGGCCGGUACAGUAAAAGGUGCUGGCAUUGCACUUUUCUAUGAUGAUAGUGUUGAGAUAAUAAAGCUCGCCGUUGGCCCGAGGUACAUCGAUGUGUUAGUUCAUUUGACACCUAAUGGUUUGAAGUGGCGGGGCACUUUUAUCUACGGAGAACCAAAAACUCAUGAAAGACACCUCAUGUGGGAACUAAUGAUUAGGAUAAAAGAUAACUCAAGUGCCCCAUGGUUGAUGGUUGGGGAUUUCAAUGAAACGAUGUGGCAAUCCGAACACCUAUUAGCCACGAGGAGAUCGGAGAGAAACAUGGAAAAUUUUAGAAGAGUCCUCUGUGACUGCAGCCUGUUCGAUAUUGGUUUCAAGGGACCAGCAUGGAUAUAUAACCAUAAAUAGGACGGAGGUCAGAACGUACGUGCGAGAUUGGAUAGAGGGGUUGCGUCUGCAACCUGGACAGAACAUUUUAGAGAAGCCAUAGUCGAACACAUCUGCUCGAGCCGGUCCGACCACCUGCCGGUCCUGAUC